rnacentral:rRNA from 1 species
GCCGUUCUUAGUUGGUGGAGUGAUCUGUCUGGUUAAUUUCGAUAACGAACGAGACUCUCCCCUGCUAAAUAGUCGGUUGGAUCUUAUUACGCGAGUCGUGCACCAAGGUACUUGGCGGCUCGGUAAGUUCUGGUGUGCGUUGUGUGUGAUGCGUUCGCGUGUCGCGCCCGUGCAUCGGGACCCCGGUCGUUGGAGGCCUUGGAUCGUACACUCCAAGUCCGCCGUCAAAGAUAUAACUCUUCUUAGAGGGAUCCACGGCUCUGAAGCCGUCAGAGACUGAGAGCAAUAACAGGUCUGUGAUGCCCUUAGAUGCUCUGGGCCGCACGCGCGCUACAAUGCCGGGCACAGCAGGUCUAUUCCUGCUCCGAGAGGAGCGGGCAACCCUCUGAAAGCCCUUGAUCACACUCGCUUUAAGUAGCGAAUGGCGUGCUUGGGCCUGGGGCUUGCAAUUAUUCCCCACAAACGAGGAAUGCCUAGUAGCGGCGAGUCACUGAGCUCGCUGUGACUCAGUCCCUGCCCUUUGUACACCCCGCCCGUCGCUACUACCGAUUGGGUGUACCAGUGAGAGCCCUGUACUGGCGGCCGUUGCCUUCGGGCAAGCGGAUUCGACGGAAAGAGGUCCGAACUGGUGCACUUAGAGGAAGUAAAA